rnacentral:rRNA from 1 species
CCAAGGAGUCUAACAUGUGCGCGAGUCGUCGGGUCUUGAAUAGGCCCGCAGGCGCAAUGAAAGUGAAGGGCGACCCCGUUGUCGUCUGCGUUGGGAUCCUCAGACCACCGUGUCUGGGGCGCACCAACGGCCCGUCCCGUCCGCAGCGUCGGUGGGACGGAGCGAGAGCGUACACGUUGGGACCCGAAAGAUGGUGAACUAUGCCUGGGCAGGACGAGGCCAGAGGAAACUCUGGUGGAGGUCCGCAGCGAUUCUGACGUGCAAAUCGAUCGUCAGACCUGGGUAUAGGGGCGAAAGACUAAUCGAACCGUCUAGUAGCUGGUUCCCUCCGAAGUUUCCCUCAGGAUAGCUGGCGCUCGAGGGAGUCAGUCUCAUCCGGUAAAGCGAAUGAUUAGAGGCCUUGGGGCCGAAACGACCUCAACCUAUUCUCAAACUUUCAAUGGGUGAGAAGUCCGGUUUACAUGACUGAAGCCCGGACAAUUCUCAGGAUGCGAGUGCCCAGUGGGCCACUUUU